rnacentral:rRNA from 1 species
AUUGAACGCUGGCGGCAUGCCUUACACAUGGCAAGUCGAACGGCAGCGCGGGAGCAAUCCUGGUGGCGAGUGGCGAACGGGUGAGUAAUAUAUCGGAACGUGCCCAGUCGUGGGGGAUAACGUAGCGAAAGCUACGCUAAUACCGCAUACGAUCUAUGGAUGAAANCGGGGGAUCGCAAGACCUCGCGCGAUUGGAGCGGCCGAUAUCAGAUUAGGUAGUUGGUGAGGUAAAGGCUCACCAAGCCGACGAUCUGUAGCUGGUCUGAGAGGACGACCAGCCACACUGGGACUGAGACACGGCCCCAGACUCCUACGGGAGGCAGCAGUGGGAAUAUUGGACAAUGGGCGAAAGCCUGAUCCAGCCAUGCCGCGUGCAGGAAUAAGGUCCUAUGGAUUGUAAACUGCUUUUAUACAGGAAGAAACACACCCUCGUGAGGGUACUUGACGGUACUGUAUGAAUAAGGACCGGCUAACUCCGUG